CCUACGGGAGGCUGCAGUGGGGGAUAUUGCACAAUGGGGGAAACCCUGAUGCAGCGACGCCGCGUGGGUGAAGAAGCGCCUCGGCGCGUAAAGCCCUGUCAGCAGGGAAGAAAAUGACGGUACCUGAAGAAGAAGCCCCGGCUAACUACGUGCCAGCAGCCGCGGUAACACGUAGGGGGCAAGCGUUAUCCGGAUUUACUGGGUAUAAAGGGGGCGCAGACGGCGAUGCAAGCCAGGAGUGAAAGCCCGGGGCCGAACCCCGGGACUGUUCUUGGUACUGCGUGGCGAGAGUGCAGGAGGGGCAGGCGGAAUUCCUGGUGUAGCGGUGAAAUGCGUAGAUAUCAGGAGGAACACCGGUGGCGAAGGCGGCCUGCUGGACUGCAACUGACGUUGAGGCCCGAAAGCGUGGGGAGCAAACAGGAUUAGAUACCCUUGUAGUC
rnacentral:rRNA from 1 species